UUUUCUGUGGACACAGAUAGUGUCAGAAAGAUGAGGCUGGAGAUGGCGAACAUCCUAAUUGCAGAGUCAGAUUCCAUGAAAGACUUGUGCCACUGCUGUGGGGAGAGGAGCCACAGUCCAACUAGUGGGCAUAUUGACUGGAUCCAAUGCACAUUAUGCCAGAGGUGGUACCAC